GACGAACGCUGGCGGCGUGCUUAACACAUGCAAGUCGAACGCUGAAGCUCAGCUUUUGUUGGGUGGACGAGUGGCGAACGGGUGAGUAACACGUGAGUAACCUGCCCCUUUCUUUGGGAUAACGCCCGGAAACGGGUGCUAAUACUGGAUAUUCACUGGUCCUCGCCUGGGGGUUGUUGGAAAGGGCUUUUCUGGUGGGGGAUGUCCUCGCGGCCUAGCAGCUUGUUGGUGUGGUGAUGGCCGACGAAGGCUUUGACGGGUAGGCGGCCUGAGAGGGUGACAGGUCAAAUGGGGACUGGGAUAGGGCCCGAAGUACGGCAGGAGGAAGCAGUGGGGAAUAAUGCGCGAAGGGCGGAAGGCUGAUGCAGCGACGCGGGGUGAGGGAUGGAGGCCUGCGGGUUGUGAACCUCUUUGGCGCAUGGUUAAGCCAGAACAAUGGUUGUGGUGAAGGUAGUGGGUAAAGAAGCGCCGGCUAAAUACGUG
rnacentral:rRNA from 1 species